ensembl:snRNA
GUGUUGUAUGAAAGGAGAACAGGUUAUCAUGCCCCUUAACAAGGAUGGAAGAAGCCCUUGGGCUUCACAACAAGCAAGGCACAAAUACAGACUUCC